UACGGAGGGAGCUAGCGUUGUUCGGAAUUACUGGGCGUAAAGCGCACGUAGGCGGCUUUGUAAGUUAGAGGUGAAAGCCCGGGGCUCAACCCCAGAAUUGCCUUUAAGACUGCAUCGCUUGAAUCCGGGAGAGGUGAGUGGAAUUCCGAGUGUAGAGGUGAAAUUCGUAGAUAUUCGGAAGAACACCAGUGGCGAAGGCGGCUCACUGGACCGGUAUUGACGCUGAGGUGCGAAAGCGUGGGGAGCAAACAGG
rnacentral:rRNA from 1 species